UACGUAGGAGACAAGCGUUGUCCGGAAUUACUGGGUGUAAAGCGCGUGUAGGCGGUAGGCCAAGUCUGCUGUGAAAUCGCCCGGCUCAACUGGGCGCGGUCGGUGGAAACUGGUCAACUGGAGGACGGUAGAGGCGAGUGGAAUUCCCGGUGUAGUGGUGAAAUGCGUAGAGAUCGGGAGGAACACCAGUGGCGAAGGCGGCUCGCUGGGCCGGUCCUGACGCUGAGGUGCGAAAGCGUGGGGAGCAAACAGG
rnacentral:rRNA from 1 species